rnacentral:rRNA from 1 species
AGAGUUUGAUCCUGGCUCAGAGUGAACGCUGGCGGUAGGCCUAACACAUGCAAGUCGAACGGCAGCACAGGAGAGCUUGCUCUCUGGGUGGCGAGUGGCGGACGGGUGAGGAAUACAUCGGAAUCUACCUUUUCGUGGGGGAUAACGUAGGGAAACUUACGCUAAUACCGCAUAAGACCUUCGGGUGAAAGCCGGGGACCUUCGGGCCUGGCGCGGAUAGAUGAGCCGAUGUCGGAUUAGCUUGUUGGCGGGGUAAAAGCCCACCAAGGCGACGAUCCGUAGCUGGUCUGAGAGGAUGAUCAGCCACACUGGAACUGAGACACGGUCCAGACUCCUACGGGAGGCAGCAGUGGGGAAUAUUGGACAAUGGGCGCAAGCCUGAUCCAGCCAUACCGCGUGGGUGAAGAAGGCCUUCGGGUUGUAAAGCCCUUUUGUUGGGAAAGAAAUCCAGUCGGCUAAUACCCGGUUGGGAUGACGGUACCCAAAGAAUAAGCACCGGCUAACUUCGUGCCAGCAGCCGCGGUAAUACGAAGGGUGCAAGCGUUACUCGGAAUUACUGGGCGUAAAGCGUGCGUAGGUGGUUGUUUAAGUCUGCUGUGAAAGCCCUGGGC